AGUUCAUCUAGAGAAGCGCUGUGCAAGAAGUUGAAUGACUACUUGUGUCUCAUGCAAAGAUUACCUGCUUGAAGAAAGUAACACAUAAAACUACAGAACUCCUUUUGAAACAGACCACAAGGAGAUUAUCGGAGUAUGGUAUCCUGAGCUGGCACACUCCACUACCUGCUGCAUUCUGGCUAUGAGUGCUCCUCUAGAUUCACACUGGCACUGCCUUGAAGCACAGAGGCAGACACACUGACAGGUGCAUAUCAAUCCUCAUUCUUUACCCAAAUAUGGAAGUUUUGAGACACACCACUGCUGGUUACUCAGAAGCCUGAAGGCAACAGCUCAUACACAUGAUACUGCAGUUCUAGGCUAAUGAAUCUACUUCGUCAUCAUUCUCUUCAGACCAAAAGAAAACUUUGCUGGGAUUCUCCAGGGUCAGGGCGGCCAGCACAAGCACCACCAAUGCCGCGAAGAGGUAGAUGUGAGGCAGUAACAGAGGAACAAGACGGUGGUGAAGGAUUAGGGAGCGAGAAACCAAGGGGAGAAUCUAAUCCUCAUCAUAUUGAGGAACCCAAGGGAAACAAUCUCAGCCCUCUUUUGAUGUCGUCACAGCUGCCCAGCCACCAUGACGCUUUCCACUCCAACCAGACACAACAACCCUUGCACUACAAUGCUGAUUCAUAAAGGG